GGCUCAAUGGUCUAGUGGUAUGAUUCUCGCUUUGGGUUCUAGUCAACUAUGCGAGAGGCCCCGGGUUCGAAUCCCGGUUGAGCCC
rnacentral:tRNA from 1 species